rnacentral:rRNA from 1 species
CCUACGGGUGGCAGCAGUGGGGAAUAUUGGACAAUGGGAGGAACCCUGAUCCAGCCAUGCCGCGUGUGUGAAGAAGGCCCUCGGGUUGUAAAGCACUUUCAGUGAGGAAGAACGCCUGGUGGUUAAUACCCAUCAGGAAAGACAUCACUCACAGAAGAAGCACCGGCUAACUCCGUGCCAGCAGCCGCGGUAAUACGGAGGGUGCGAGCGUUAAUCGGAAUUACUGGGCGUAAAGCGCGCGUAGGUGGCUUGAUAAGCCGGUUGUGAAAGCCCCGGGCUCAACCGGGGAACGGCAUCCGGAACUGUCAAGCUAGAGUGCAGGAGAGGAAGGUAGAAUUCCCGGUGUAGCGGUGAAAUGCGUAGAGAUCGGGAGGAAUACCAGUGGCGAAGGCGGCCUUCUGGACUGACACUGACACUGAGGUGCGAAAGCGUGGGUAGCAAACAGGAUUAGAUACCCGUGUAGUC